GACGAACGCUGGCGGCGUGCUUAACACAUGCAAGUCGAACGGAAAGGUCCUGCUUUUGUGGGGUGCUCGAGUGGCGAACGGGUGAGUAACACGUGAGUAACCUGCCCUUGACUUUGGGAUAACUUCAGGAAACUGGGGCUAAUACCGGAUAGGAGCUCCUGCUGCAUGGUGGGGGUUGGAAAGUUUCGGCGGUUGGGGAUGGACUCGCGGCUUAUCAGCUUGUUGGUGGGGUAGUGGCUUACCAAGGCUUUGACGGGUAGCCGGCCUGAGAGGGUGACCGGCCACAUUGGGACUGAGAUACGGCCCAGACUCCUACGGGAGGCAGCAGUGGGGAAUAUUGCACAACGGGCGGAAGCCUGAUGCAGCAACGCCGCGUGCGGGAUGACGGCCUUCGGGUUGUAAACCGCUUUCGCCUGUGACGAAGCGUGAGUGACGGUAAUGGGUAAAGAAGCACCGGCUAACUACGUG
rnacentral:rRNA from 1 species